GAGCAAUGAUGCUAUAUGAGAUAUGGUCCAGUCAAUCAUGAAUAUUACUAAUUUAACUAUUGUUUCUUUAAGAAUAAGAUUUAAUUUUUGAAAUUUAAAUUAGGUUCAAGUUGGUUUCACUAUACCAUAUGAGAUAUGAUAUGGUGGAUAAGUUAGAAGAUAGAUCUGUGAGGACUCAUUUAUGGGGUAUCCCAAAAGGGUUUGG
rnacentral:lncRNA from 1 species